GUCCUGUCCAUUUUUUAUCUAUUUUCUUUUUUAUCUAACCCUUUCUUUUCAAAUCUAUACUCAGUUGUAAAAGUUAUUGUGUUUAUUGGACCUAAAAAUAAAUCUACCUGACUACAUUUGUAGUAGGUUAACUCAAUCGUUCGAGUCCUUUUCCCUGUCGACUCCUCGACACCGGCAAAGCAGAACGUCACGCUCUCCCAGCUGAUCCCCUCACGUCUGUGAGAAGCCCUGCAGCUACCUCUGCCUCCACCUCUGCUGCGCCUGCACGGAGCCCUGGGAGGCCUGCAUUGACGCUGGCGAUGUUUGAGAAAGCGCGGUUCGGUGGGACUUUGUCUGCUGCAGCCAAGCCGAAUGUCAAUCUGACCAGGAGGCCUGUUGAGCGUCCCUCCAGCCCUGCCACAGUCCCGGCUGGGAGAAGCACUCCAUGCGCUACCCCACCUCAAGUGACGCCCCCUUCCAGUCCCAGAUUCUACAGGCCUGUCUCCCCUUUCUCUCUGCCUCCAUCCAGCCCUGUCAUGUCGGCGGUUGUAUCAGAUACGAGUCCUGCUCCUCCAGGUCUCCUCCCUGCUCCUCCUGGUCCCCUCCCUGCUCCUCCUGGUCCCCUCCCUGCUCCUCCUGGUCCCCUCCCUGCUCCUCCUGGUCCCCUCCCUGCUCCUCCUCUUGCUGCUCCAGAUCAGUUCUGGCUGCCGGUGGAAAUGAGGAAGACCAUUCCCCAGCAGGACCAGCGCUGGAUUGCAUCCACGCUGUGGAGGAACCAGUGGCUGCGCCCGGACGUCCAGCUCUGGUAUGAGCCACCGGUUCCUGCCCUCAUAUACAACCAGGU
ensembl:lncRNA